UUUGAGAGUUGCGUGAAUCGUUUAUAUGCAGAUUUUGCAAUUUCUGCGCACAUUUAAAGCUCAAAUUCCUGUGACAAAUCCAAAUCCAGGGAGGCAAUCAGUUGGAGGAUUAUAUUACCUUUCCUACCUGGACAGAAAUAUGCUUUUAGGUCGUGCAGUUGGAGGUGGAGGCAUGUUUGUUUUCACCAAAGCUCAACCCCUUUACUUGUGAGGCACAAAACAACUUUGAUUAUUUGAUUAAUCGCUUACACCUACCAACACUUUUGUACGCCCAAAAAACCUUGAUUUAAGAAGUAAGAAAGACCGGGAACAGAGGUUCGUGGAUUCAAGGAAUUGAAGCAAAUACUUUUCACUGUA